GCGAUUUAUGCAAAAGAAGCCCAUUUUUCCACGCUGAUUUGCUUUUGUCCAACACAUCUGCGGAGUGUGUACGGUGGACAGGCCCUCGGGAGGUGAUCUUGUGAACACUUGCUGAGGAUCCUUGAUGCCGAGUGCAGGAUGUUUCCUACCAGUUUGAAGCCAUGUCUGAAGGGUUCCGAGGUGGAAUGUUCUGCGCUGGCCGAUGGCGGCGUCGGGGGGGGGGGGGGGGCACUGCACCGCAUGCCCAUGGUGACGAGGAAACAGCUGACGCAGGCAACAACGGCAUAGACCAACAUCUGAAGGAUGACAGGGAAAAAAAGCUCCAUCCCCCUGGAAAAGAAGGAAAGAAGGGAAGAAUAAUGUGGAUUUAUUGAGGAGAAAGAGGAGUAAAUAUUUGGUGGCGUUUAAGAAGUGUUUUUGUUCCACCUGCAUGACAAGAUGAGGACUUUUUUUAAGGCAGCACUUCCAACAAGAAGAAGAUGAGGACAUGUUUGAGGCAGCACUUCCAACAAGAAGAAGAUGAGGACAUGUUUGAGGCAGCACUUCCAACAAGAAGAAGAUGAGGACUUUUUUUUAAGGCAGCACUUCCAACAAGAAGAAGAUGAGGACAUGUUUGAGGCAGCACUUCCAACAAGAAGAAGAUGAGGACAUGUUUGAGGCAGCACUUCCAACAAGAAGAAGAUGAGGACAUGUUUGAGGCAGCACUUCCAACAAGAAGAAGAUGAGGACAUGUUUGAGGCAGCACUUCCAACAAGAAGAAGAUGAGGACAUGUUUGAGGCAGCACUUCCAACAAGAAGAAGAUGAGGACAUGUUUGAGGCAGCACUUCCAACAAGAAGAAGAUGAGGACAUGUUUGAGGCAGCACUUCCAACAAGAAGAAGAUGAGGACAUGUUUGAGGCAGCACUUCCAACAAGAAGAAGAUGAGGACAUGUUUGAGGCAGCACUUCCAACAAGAAGAAGAUGAGGACAUGUUUGAGGCAGCACUUCCAACAAGAAGAAGAAGAUGAGGACAUGUUUGAGGCAGCACUUCCAACAAGAAGAAGAUGAGGACUUUUUUUAAGGCAGCACUUCCAACAAGAAGAAGAUGAGGACAUGUUUGAGGCAGCACUUCCAACAAGAAGAAGGACUAGAAGUGACGUCAUACCUGAGUGGAAAAAGUUUGGACACCCCUGCCAUCAAAGGUCCAUUUCCCUACGAAGACCAUGCAUCCUGCCCAUCAACCAAUGGCCUCAGCAGCCAAGUUUGAUCACUCUAUGGAGGCUGUACACCCCUCCCAUCCCCACACCGCUGGCCCAUCACCAAAUGUCCACACCUAUGGUCCUUCACCCGGCGUACACAAUAGCUUGCUACCUGAAUCCACCUGAGAAUAAAAAGGCAGCUUUCCUGGCACCAGACAGGAGAGAUGCAGGCAACCCAUCUAUUGAGGACACUAUCUGUUAUCAACCACAGGCAGAAAAAUCAUGGACGCCAUGUGAUGGAAAAAAUGUGGGCAGAAAAAGAAGGAAUUGAAGAAGUCCUCUUGAAAAUAGAUCCGGUCCAAGUCAGAGUACUUCAAACUCUCUGCGACUUGGUUGGAGACAAAUACAGCGACGGCCCUCCUCAACAAUCGGGCCAGCAAGAGCUCUUUCCUGAGAGCGGCGUAUUCAUAUCAUUGUUCCGCCUUGCUGCCAUGAGACAUGCUGCAGAGCCCAAAUGUAGGCCUUUAUUUGGACCUCUUUUUUCUACGUGUCAAAAUGCUGUCCCUUUUUGACGCCCUGGAAACAAACCUGCAGGAACACCAAAGCGCAUCCUUAAGCGGAAAAAAGUGGAAGGAAUCCUUAGUAAGUUUUCCCAAACAGAGGGUGUUUUCAGGCCAAAAUUGGGUCACAAUAAUGAAAUAGAAGUUCAAUAUGAGAAAUGUUGAUCCCUUUUCGAUUACAGCAGACUGGAAGCAUAACUGAAUGUUACAUCAUUACAAUUUGUUAUCCACUCCAAACUAGCGUUAUGAUGAGCAAUAUAGUCUGAUGUCCAUCAACUUGAAGUGUGGUUGUGUGUAUUAAUGGUUUUGCGUAAAUGAAGGCAAUAAAAAAGCAUUAAAUGAGGCAUUUAAAAAAGGGAAUAUGAUUGUAGGACAUGGCGGACAGUCAAUAUGUCAAACGGUAAAGGAAAAUGAACUUAAGAAGGUUACAGUCGUUUCUUUUUUGAACUGCAUACAAGAGGUAUUGUAAGGUGGGAACACGACAAAAGCACUGCUUCAAUCAAGCAAAAUGAAACAUCAACUUUUCCAUUCUUUGGUCACUGUAGGCGUGUAGUCCUUAACUGUGACUCCAUGUCAGGAUAAUGGAGAAGCUGAGCCGACACGGAGUCGUUUAUUUCAAU